UGGGUGGAUGGAUGGACGGGUGGGUGGAUGGAUGAUGGAUGGAUGGAUGGAUGGAUGAUGGAUGGAUGAUGGAUGGAUGAUGGAUAAAAACAAAAAUGUCUGAAGUGUAUUUUUAAGUCCAACACAUCUGAACGGCCAUGAAAGGAAAGAGCAGCGUUCCCAUUAUGAGGUGAAACUGGACGAGGACGAGGACGAGGACGAGGACGCCGGUCGUCUCAUGCUGAGACGCUGCGGAGACGUGACGACGGACUUGAUGAAUGUGCGCUGAGAACAUCAACAGGUUCACACGACACUUGAUGUAACGCAGAGUGACAUCAUGAUGUAGGGCAACCAAAACAGGUCACUGGACGGUGUGUUUUGUCUCCAAGACUAGUGUGUGUGUGUGUGUGUGUGUGUGUGUGUGUGUGUGUGUGUGUGUGUGUGAGACGGGGGGGUGUUAUUGUGCGUACGUGAGAGAGACAAGUAUGCAGGGGCAGAUGUCCAGAGUCCCAUGCCAUAAGCGUGUGUGUGUGUGUGUUGCUGUCUGCUCGUGUGUGUGAAGUGAACUGCAGCCAAUCAACUCAAUAUCCUCCUCGUCAGUGAUUCCUGAGGACAAACAGCGAGUGACUGAAACCUAAAUGUGACAAAAGAGAACAAAUGUUUAACUCUCACCACAGCAGACAAAAAAAAAGCUCUGUGUUGAUCUUUAUGUUAUUCCCCUGAUGCAGGUCGUCUGUGGUACCUGUGAAAAGGACACUGACACAGGUGAACCGGGAAAUAUUGUUGAGACCUGGACGGCCGUGAUGAUGGAGCUCAGCCGACAGCGGUGUCCACAGCCGCUGAUGUCCUGCAGGUGGACACCGGCGCCUCUCAACUGCUGCUGUACCCAGAGUCACCGGCAGGGCGAGAGGCCCGGGUGGAGGAGUGUCAGCGGGCUGAACGUUCUGUCUGAUGUGGGGGUGCAGGGAGCUCCACGGGGCACCGCUCGUUCCCUCCUGCAGAUCUCCAAAAACACUCCGAGUCUCAUCACGUUCCGGAGUUUUCUGAUGGCUCAGCAAGAGUCAGGUAGGGAGGGUGAGUCCCUGGAGGAGGAUCCUGGGGAGGGAAACCCGAUAAACUCUGGUGAGACGGAUCUCUGAGGCCAGCUGAGAACGUCCCCAUCUUAAUGAGCAAAGAGGAAAACACGGUUUUACCAGAAAAUGUACGGUAUUUGGAAAUUAGAAACAGAACAUUUCACCAUUAUUCCUGGGGGGGGGGGGGGGGGGGGGGGGAUUUAGGAAGAGAGAAUUAGCUGGAAGGCUCAACUCAAACAUGGUCGAGUCAAAUUGUCAGGAAGUUUUUUCAGUAUUA
rnacentral:lncRNA from 1 species